rnacentral:misc_RNA from 1 species
GCAAACUUGGUCAUUUAGAGGAAGUAAAAGUCGUAACAAGGUUUCCGUAGGUGAACCUGCGGAAGGAUCAUUAACGAACGAGUGGCGCCCGAGUUGUAGCUGGCCGACCUUUGAGGUUGGCAGGUGCUCGCCCGGGUGUCUUCCACACAUACCUCUGUGCACGCUUGCGUGAGAUGCGACGGUUCUCGAUGGGCCGGAGCGCUCGCGCCUAUCUUACAAACUCUUGAAUGUAUCGGAAUGUUUCUUGCGUUGACUCGCAUCUAAUACAACUUUCAACAACGGAUCUCUUGGCUCUCGCAUCGAUGAAGAACGCAGC